UGAGGAGCUCACUUUGGAGGCUGGCAGAGUGAAGAGCCUUUCCAGAGGAGGAGGUAGCUGUGGGAAGAGGAGCGGCUUGGGACCAGGGGUGGUAAUUGUAAGUUCUGUGGAAUAGAAAACAUUUUUCCUGUAUUUGCUCUCAAAAUGGAACUGCCGUCAGCUCAAAUAUUUUUGUGAUGCUUCUGUAAAUAAGGUUCACAGAGCACAAGAGCAUCUUGAAAGCAGAUGAUGUCAUGUGCAGGAGUCAUGGGCCUCCCGGGGUUUGAUUACAGAAUGCUGAAUAAUUGGGCAAGUCAAGCUGGAAUAGAGAACCCAAAUCUGAUAUAAAUCUUGAUAAAUUGGUAGGGGAAAGAUGUUUGGAGCUGCUGUUUUUAAGGUGCUGAGAGGUAGGAUAAACUUAGCUGGCACAAGCUAUUUUGAAAGUGGCAUUAGACUAUUAACACUUUGCAGAUAUGAUCUCUCCUCCUGCAAGAGGGAGCUUUAUCAAUGCAUCUUCCAUUGGGGAAGUAGGGAAAGGAGAUGUUGUUAGGCCUGCUGGUAAUCAGUGGUACUUAUCACCCAGUUAACAAGAGCUGUUGGAGGAAAUUGCUACCUGAAUUGUGCACAUGUAGUAAGAACAGGGAGAUCUAAAUGAAAUCCAUAACUUGGAUGAUUUGUGUCACCCACUAGGAUGCCUGGUGACACUGGGCUGCUCUUAUCCCUGUCACCAAUCUCCUUUUCUCAUCUUCACGGGUUAUUAGAGCAUUUUCAGUCCAGUUUGGGUCUCAGUCUUUGCUGCACAACAGUUCAUAGGAGAAAAACAGACCUUGCUGGACCUGCACAAGAUGCAGAAAACCUCCUGCAAGAACUGCUCCUCUGGAAGAUUUAACCCUUUUAAUCUCCAUUUGCCCUCCAACAACCUCCGAGUUGAGUGCUGAGCAUCUGGCUUUGGUGCAAGAAGCAUGGACAGGACCUGGGGACCAGGCAAACCCAGAAGCAUGUGGGAGAGGCUUUUCCAUAUUAGCUGGAUUAUUAAGGUGAGACAAAGUUCUAAUGCUACCCCAGGUCAUUGCAGGAUCUGACAAGGUGGUCUUCAGAGCAGGGGGCCAGCACACAGAGAACACAGGUCCUCUGCUGUCUCAUGGUGCUAGAGCCAGGCCUUUAGCAGUCAGCAUAGGUGCUGCUCAGGACUUUGAUACAUCUGUCUAUUGUGGGUGUGUGAUUCUGCCAGAAAGAGUCUGUAAAUGCAGAUUAAAGCUAUCUUGGUGCACAAGGGAGCUGGGCUUGCCUAGCUGUGAUGGUGUACACCCAUCUUGAUGGUGUCUAGACAUGAGCAGAGUCUUGUGUUAUUGCAAAGCUCCAGUUGCUGUAAAUAACAGUCUUGUGACUUCAAGUUUGUGUUGCACCUGGAUUUUUUCCGAUAGUCAUAAUAGAUAUUUUCCCUUUCCUUGUGUAUUGGAUAUAUCUCCUUUUCAGGUGGUAAUUUAUGCUGAUUGCAGCUCAUCAGUCUUGCAUCUUGCCUGCCACAGGGUUUCUUAUACUUUCUAAUUUACUGGAGGAAGAGUGUAUUGACAGUUCUCAAUGAAUUCCGCAGUACAGGAGGUGCAUGUGGUGCCGAAUCCUUGCAGAACAGUGAGUUCCAGAGAGUCAGACAAUGCCUAAUGGUUUUAUACUGAUGUAAAUGCUUCAUUAUAAUAAUCCAGCAAUGGCAAAAGUAGUAAAAGACUUAUGGUAGUCCUCUUGUUCAAAAUAAAAACACUAUCAAAAAUAAGCAACCUAUCUAUCAUCUUGCCAUAAGUUCUUUGAUGAUAGCACAAUCUGUCCUUUAGAUGACACUGAAGUUCCUCUUCCCCAGUGGUUUUCUAAUCAAAUUUUGCUUUCAGGAAUGAUCUAUAAACUCUAUCAGUAUUUAUGUAAAAAGAGGUUGAUGAUUCAAGAAGAAAUGAAAUAUUUAGGUAAGACUAAUCCUGAAAGCAUAGCUGCUUUAGCUGUAAUUAUUCAUCUUAUGACAUGGAAGUAUUUGGUUGGCUACAAACUUUUCCUUUGGAAAAAUCUAGUUCCAUUGGAGUUUAAAAUAUUAAAGGGAAAUAAAAAAGAACAAUUUUUAGAUAGGAACAAUCUGGAAAUAGAAGUUAAUGGCAUUUAAAACAAAGGUAAAAUGCCACAUGUCUGGCAUGGGAACAAAAAUAAAGCUGUGUUUUGAAAGUGGUCCCUGACCAUAUGUGCAUACUUAGUGCAGCUCUAUGGUUGCUGUCCAAGAUGUCCCUGUAGAGCAGUAAGACAGUGCAGUCACAUUGCCUUUCUCAGUCUGGGAGAGAUGCUCUGAUGGUCCUUUUCAUCCUGGGAUAGAUUAAAACUUUAAAGGCAAGAACUGCCUGUAGGGCAUCUUCGCAGCAAAGAAAGUACUGGUCUCUCUAAGGUGCCCUUUGGAACCUGGUGGGUCCCCUUCAUCCCAUGGGUGCUAAAUCCUCGUGUUCCUGUGUCAUUCUGGGCUAAGGCCACUGCGGAGCUCUUCUGCUCUAACAAGCAUCAGCAUGUGCCUUGCUCUGCCCAUGAUGCAGAGUUCUGUGGCUGGCAAGUUUUGCUUGUCUAUAGUAUUUCCAUACUGAAGCCUGAUCGCUAUUGUGGCAACCUUGAACUUUUGUGGUUUGUCAUCUUCCAGAUGAAAUGAUUCAGUCUGGCACAAGGCUGGUGAGGCACUGAGCUGAUUGUGAAUGUGUAGCUUGUAUCAAUAAGGGAAAUUAAAUAAUUCCUCAAAACCAUGCAACGUGUCAGUUCUGCCGCAGUUCAGUCAGCUCUUUGUUUUCUUGUUGGCUUUUUAUAGUUGAAAUUUCCUUAAAGUGCAUUGUGGAAAUCAUGCUCUGCUCAGUUUGGGGUGAACGGUGCACAGGCUGGGCUUGGGGCUUGAGUGGGGUGAGUGACUGGAAGGGAUCAGUAGUCCUUCAAGUGCAAGGUCCUGUGAAUCCUGCUGGGAAAUAGAUAUAAAGUAAAAAGGUUUUAGUGAGCAACUUAAUGUAUGAAAUUAAAACCUACCCAGGUCUCAGGCACACAGAUCCUUGAGAGCACAUUGAAUUCCUAUCUUGUGAAAACCCUGAACAGGGUUUCAAAGGAGUACACGGACAUGAGGCG